rnacentral:lncRNA from 1 species
UAUUGAAGAUUGCAGUGAGCUCAUCUAGAAGAUGAGUGAUCCAGAACACGUCACAGUGAAGCAUGAUGCUACUGAAGAACGAGGGCUGGUCUGAAUACCAUUUUUGGAGUUUCGAAGCUUCAGUAGUAAUCAACACUGAAUAUUUGAAGCUUUGGUGGGAGGGGGCUGAACAUAUUCUUCUCUCAACACCACGUCUACACUGGAUGCUGUGCUAGGACAAAAUACAAUAGAACCUAUUUUGUUGUCUACACAGCGUGGCAGCAGGGCUCUAGACUAACUACUAACUUGUGCUGGUUGCACUGGUGUGCCUAACAUUUUUUUCUUAGGUGCACCAGCACAAAAGUUAGGUGCACCCAAAUUUUCGACCUCAUUGCAUUUAACACCGUGGUUUUACCUAGUUAACUUUUUUUUUUAUCGCAAUAUUGACUUGUAGCCUAAAUGAUUAACUAACAAUCUGGCCAACAUAAAGUUCUUUAUUUGAAGCACAAUUCUACAAGAAAGGUAACUUACUAAAAAAGUGUUGGUGCUUAAAGAACUUCACUGAGCUGAAAUGUAAACUUAAAACAUCUCAAGAUAAAUGAAAUAAAAAGAAAAUAUAAAUUAAGUGUUUUAAGGGCUUCAAACUGCUCUUUGUUAUUAAAAGUUGUUCGGGCGGUGUGAUUUAAUUUAAUUGAUUUGUGUGCGCGCCUCUGCGCGAAAACUCUUCUGGAUGUUUAUGUUAAUUUAAUUCUGUUUGACUCUUGUAUUUGCACUCUUUUAUAAACUGCUAUUUGUUGCUAAUAAAAGUUGUUAAUAUUGUUGUGCAUGAUAUUUUGUUAUUGUUUCAGUAUUAGUGUUUAGUAUUCAGUUUCUGAAUGGUUUAGGCACAAGCCAACAGUUUGGUGACGCUGUCUGAGCCUUACGUCAUUUUUUUUAAUUAUUCACCGUAAUACCAUAUACCGAGGUAAAAUAGGGAGGAGGUUUGACGGUAUCAAAAUUUGGAUACCGCCCAAGCCUACUAAACAGCUUAUACUAAAAUAGUUUAGUUUGUAUGUAAUAGCAAAUUGAUUAUAUUUCGUUUAGUUUUUUCAUUAAGUUAAUUUAGAAAAAAAGUUUGGAGAAUUUUUUUGUUUGUUAAAUAUAAGUUUUACAAACCCGAUUCAAAAAAAGUUGGGACACUGUACAAAUUGUGAGUAAAAAAGGAAUGGAAUAAUUUACAAAUCUCAUAAACUUAUAUUUUAUUCACAAUAGAAUAUGGAUAACAUAUCAAAUGUUGAAAGUGAGACAUUUUGAAAUGUCAUGCCAAAUAUUGGCUCAUUUUGGAUUUCAUGAGAGCUACACAUUCCAAAAAAGUUGGCACAGUGUUUCCAGGCCCCCAAAACAUUGUUAUAAUGUAUUGUUGUGUAAAUGAAUGUCCAUAAAACGACUAAACUAACUGACAGAUUUUGACUAUAAAUAUACUAUAUAUAAAUCUUUACCUGUACAUAAUCUAAAUAAAUACAGACUACACGAAUGCUUCACAUAAUACUAUACUUAUACAAAACCAACCUAAUGUCAGAUUUGACUUUAAAUACUAUAUAUAAAUGUUAACCUAUGCAUAAACUAAAAACAAAAUACAAACUAUACAAAAAGCUACACAUAAACACUGUACCUAUACUGUAGGGAAGUUUGAACUAUUGUGCUGAUCAGGAGAUUGUGCUCGCCUCAGGGUGUCAGUAAAAACACAGCACAGGAUUCAGAACAUUCUGACUUUACUGUUGUAAAUGUGUGGUCUGAAAUAAACAAAUAAAUAACAUAUUACAAUAAUAUAAUGACAACAUACAUACAUGAUAAUUUACAUCUAAUACAAUUCUUAGUUAACUGCAAUACUUAAAUUGCCCUUUAGAUGGCGCAAUCAGCAUGUAUAACAGUGAUUUGCAAAUUCUCCGUGUCUGUUAUAAAGUGCUGAGUAAUCAUCGUAUCUGAACGGGAUUACGGAGAAUAUGAUGAAAUCAAUAUCUAAACACUUAUUAACUGAGUUAUGUUACACAUGGUAACUACGUCAGCGUGAAUUCGGAGAACUCUGAGGAGACAAACAACUCGCUAAUUUCCAUAAAAUAAAGCUGUAACAGGGCAGGAUAACUAUAUUAAAUAUCACAAAGAAGUAUAUAGACUUACAUUUUUGCAUAAACGCACACAAAUUAGGCAAACUUCAAAGAUUAAUAUCAGGAACUCAGGAACACGUAUUCAUUCUCUUACUCCGCUCGCUGACAGGAGAGGUCGGGAAGUUUCUAGCUCGCCACCUAUCGUCCUUUUCCAACGUCAUCCAUAAAGUGGUCCCUGAUUGGUUAGAUCUCCUUAACAUAUACACAAACUAACCUACAUAUUUGAAUAUGAAUAUACUAUAUAUAAAUGUUUACUUAUACAUAGACUGAAAAGGAAAAAUAAAUAUUAUACGAAUGCUUCCUGUAAUACUGUACAUGUGCAAAGAGAAACAUUUUAAGUCAAGUAGCUGGCUGAGGAAUAGUGCAGGAUGAUUUGUAGUGUAUGAGCAUGUAAACACAUAUUUGAGUCUUUUGUGGUAUUAUGUAAACACAGCAGUGUGUGUGAAAAGUGUCUAGUGCGCAUAGAGGAGAAUUUCUAUAUAUAAUAUAAAACGGAUUGUUUCCGACUGACUGUUUUUCUGUGAUGUGGAAAGGUGUGGGGGUGGGGAGGUGUGAUGGUCCAUGUUUGUGGAGGUAGGGGGUUUGUGUGGGGUUUCAAAGGAGGGUGGGAUGAUUUGUGUUCAGGGCUCUCACAACCUGGGGGAAAAAGCUGUUGAGCAGUCUGGCGGAGCGGGUUCUGAUGCUCCGGUAACGUCUUCCUGAUUGUAGGAGCUGGAAGAGACUGUGGGAGGGAUGGGCG